rnacentral:lncRNA from 1 species
GCGCGAUCAGGGCGCGGGAGGGGCGCUGGCGGGGGCCAGUCUGCAGGAGCGGCUCCCAGGGCCCGGGCCGCGAGUGGAGGGCCGACGGCCACUCGGAUGGAGGUCUUCAGGAGACGGGAAACUGAGGCUCUGGUCCCGGCCACACAGAAGCCACAGCAAUAAGGAAUGCCAGAGCCAGAGGGUUCUUUCUUCUAGGUUCUAUCAGUGAAAUGGAUAUAAGACAAAUUAACAGGAGAAAAACAAAUUUAAUUUCGUAUGUCCGGGAGCCCCAUAAGGAUAUGAAGACUCACAAGGCAGCCAGGUAAUUGAAGCCCGUCUGCCAUCCUGAGCUAAGGAGAGGAGCAGGGACCUGGGGAUGCCAAGGGGAGGAGGGCGGAGGAGAUGUUUGGAAAAACAGAGGUUGUCCUGUUAUGCAGAUAAAUUUCUUAGGUAAAAAGGUAGCUCUGUGACUAGCUCUCUUCCUGCUCCAGGCCCCCUUUCCAAUGUGAAUGUAGGCAGUUGAGGGGGAGGUCAAGAGCUUUUCCUCAUCUGCUGGGGUUUGAUUGCCUUUAGCUCAAAAUAAUCCUCGUGCCAAAGAGACAUAUUUUAGGGUGGCAAAAUCUGCUCGCCCUCCUGGGCCUUGUCAAGAUGGAAUAUUCGCCAUAUGGAAGUGGACACCAAAAAAAAAGCUUCCCGCCGGCCCUCCUUGGCUCGGUGUCUGGUGGCCCCUUCCAGCCAGAUCGGCUUGGCAGUGUAGGAGCCAUUUUGCACCAUGGCUUUGCCCUGUCUCUAAUUCAGUUGGAGACUCUGUGGUGAACAUUCUUGCUUCUGAAUAUUGGAUCCAGUUACAGCCAUGCCCACUGCCCACCCCUCACCCUAGGCACCCCCGCUGAACAGCACACAGGACCUAGUCCAUAAUGGAGGCUACAUGUAGG